UUCCCGAGCAACAGGUUCAUUAAUGAUAUUAUUGAUAGACUGCCUUAUCCAUAGAUCUAAAUAAUAAAAUUAAUAUUGACUUCAAAACAGAAUGGACGGACACGGUGCACAGGGAAGUGGUCCAAGGCCUAAAAAACUGAAUGAGCGUCCAGACACCACAACAGGACAUGAUGGCAGAAAGAACCGUCUAAAAGAAUUGAAGAACCCCCGUCGUAAAGCGAAUAAAGCUGACAACAACGUCACAUCAGCGACUCCAGAAAAGCCCUAGCCAUUGCCAGUUUUUUUUUUUUUGUUUCAAAGCCAAAUGUAAAUUAAAAAUUUUAAAAAUGUG